rnacentral:rRNA from 1 species
CCCGGCGACCGGCGCACGGGUGAGUAACACGUAUGGAACCUGCCCGCAGGCAGGGGGAUAAGCGGAAGAAAUUCCGUCUAAUACCGCGUAACACCGCAGAGGGGCAUCCCUCGGCGGUUAAAGAUUCAUCGGCUGCGGAUGGCCAUGCGGCGCAUUAGCUAGUCGGCGGGGUAACGGCCCACCGAGGCGACGAUGCGUAGGGGUUCUGAGAGGAAGGUCCCCCACACUGGUACUGAGACACGGACCAGACUCCUACGGGAGGCAGCAG